rnacentral:misc_RNA from 1 species
GAUGAAGAACGUAGCGAAAUGCGAUAAGUAAUGUGAAUUGCAGAAUUCAGUGAAUCAUCGAAUCUUUGAACGCACAUUGCGCCCCCUGGUAUUCCGGGGGGCAUGCCUGUUCGAGCGUCAUUUCACCACUCAAGCCUCGCUUGGUAUUGGGCAACGCGGUCCGCCGCGUGCCUCAAAUCGACCGGCUGGGUCUUCUGUCCCCUAAGCGUUGUGGAGACUAUUCGCUAAAGGGUGUUCGGGAGGCUACGCCGUAAAACAACCCCAUUUCUAAGGUUGACCUCGGAUCAGGUAGGGAUACCCGCUGAACUUAAGCAUAUCAAUAAGCGGAGGA